rnacentral:rRNA from 1 species
CCUACGGGGGGCUGCAGUGGGGAAUAUUGGACAAUGGGGGGAACCCUGAUCCAGCCAUGCCGCGUGUGUGAAGAAGGCCCUCGGGUUGUAAAGCACUUUCAGUGAGGAAGAACGCCUGGUGGUUAAUACCCAUCAGGAAAGACAUCACUCACAGAAGAAGCACCGGCUAACUCCGUGCCAGCAGCCGCGGUAAUACGGAGGGUGCGAGCGUUAAUCGGAAUUACUGGGCGUAAAGCGCGCGUAGGUGGCUUGAUAAGCCGGUUGUGAAAGCCCCGGGCUCAACCUAGGAACGGCAUCCGGAACUGUCAAGCUAGAGUGCAGGAGAGGAAGGUAGAAUUCCCGGUGUAGCGGUGAAAUGCGUAGAGAUCGGGAGGAAUACCAGUGGCGAAGGCGGCCUUCUGGACUGACACUGACACUGAGGUGCGAAAGCGUGGGUAGCAAACAGGAUUAGAUACCCUAGUAGUC